UUUCCAUGUCUUGUGUCAUUGAAAAACAUUUAAUUCAUCUGUGAGUUCUUCAAGGAGAGUUCUAAUUCAUUUCUGUGCACGCAAAUCAUAGCAUAUUGAAUGUAUCCAACCAUGGAAAGAAUAUUGAGGUUCUAGGCCUCUAUUUCCUCUCUUUGUUCAAAUAAGUAUAAUUAAGUCAUACAGUGAGUACUCUGCACAUGAAUGAGAAAUAAGACAACGGAUACAAUAUGGAAAAAGAUGUUAAUUCCCCUCCGAUAUCGGGAAAUACUUGCAACGAGACAGUAUCAUUCAAAACGGAUCAAUCUACUUCAAAAACGUCCAAAAAUGUAGUAAGACAGCGACCCAAUUGUCCAGGCUGGAUUCUUAAACGAGCCAACACCGUUUCCUUUUGCUUUUCAAGAGACAAUCAAAAUAUGGAUAAACGCUCCUCCGUCUAUAAUCUAUCAAAUACUACAAAUGAAUCCAUAUGCGAGGGAUUACAUCAUCCAUCCUCUGAGCAAAGCAUGAUGAAGUUUACAAGAGGCUGUUGGCAGAAAAGCAAUGAUCCCAUGAAGUCUUUUUGUAGAGGUAGUCUCAAAAAAUUGCGAAAUGCUGAGAGUAAAGUUAUUAUAGCCAAAAAGGACGUAGAAGAUAUUUUAAUACAGGUUUAAUUUUUUUGCAACAUCAAAAUUAAUUGUUACACAAUUGGUUGGCUUUGUUUUUUUUUUUUUUGUCUUCGUUGUUGUUUGCACGAAUUGAUGUUGCUCCUUGUCUUUGAUGCAUGAAGAGUGACAACGAUUCCAAAGAAACAGUUUGGGAUCCUCCAAUACAUCGAUUAGAGGAAGAUACUUUAAUGCUCUCAGAGGUUCAGCAAGAAAUCAAUCAUUUAAUAUGUGAGUUUUCUUCUCUGGUAACGGAAGAAGAGGAAAGAAUCAUGAAGAAAGCUAGGAUCUUAGAAAAACACAAUUCUUGUGCAGAGUUCAAACAGGUUUCUUACACUAAAUCCAAGGCAAAUGAGAUGAAUGAUGAAGAUCUGAUUUCCACAGAAGAGGAAAAACUUAAAUAUCAUAAUAAUGAAAAAAUGAAUUCGUCUGAAUCAAUUUGAGAGCUCUAAAUUAUAACUGGUAUCAAAUGAAUCAACAUAUAUAAUCAUCUCAUUUAUUCAUCUUUAAAAAAAAUUAAUUGAUUUAAAUUAUUGCCUAUUCAUUGACAUUACAAUUAUUACUGAACUGGAUCACCAUACUUCAUAACUUUGAGUAAUUGAGGUAUGUUAUUAUCUUUGAUUGCAGUCCUGGAGUCUGUUAUGAUAUUUGACUUUGUUUUUCCAACUAUUUGUGAAUAAAGAAAUGUGAUUAAACCUUCAGAAUAUAUAAUUUAAUAAUGCUUA
rnacentral:misc_RNA from 1 species